UCUGGCAAUGAUGACAAACUUGCCCUCACUGAGAACUUUGUUCUGUAAUGAAAAUGAAAAUCUUUACUGUGUUCUUUGCUCUGAGCUAGA